AGUAAUGCUUGGGAAUCUGGCUUAUGGAGGGGGAUAACGACGGGAAACUGUCGCUAAUACCGCGUAUUAUCGGAAGAUGAAAGUGCGGGACUGAGAGGCCGCAUGUCAUAGGAUGAGUCCAAGUGGGAUUAGGUAGUUGGUGGGGUAAAGGCCUACCAAGCUGCGAUCUCUAGCUGGUCUGAGAGGAUGACCAGCCACACUGGAACUGAGACACGGUCCAG
rnacentral:rRNA from 1 species